rnacentral:lncRNA from 1 species
AAACGUAUCCCAUAAUUCUCCCAAUGCCCUCCAAAAGUUUUUCUCGACUAUGAUGGUUUAUGAGUAAUUCAUAUGAAGACCAGGGGCAAUCUAUCAAAUUAAAACUCAGUUCUGUCUGCCAUCUACCUUAUCACUGCCAGCAUCUCAAUUCCUCCAUCACUCGUUUCUUUGUGAAGAAGGGGGGAAAAAAUCAUGGACAGAGAACAAGAAGAGCUCCAGUUUCUCGGGUUCUUUGGCAUCUUCAAAGAAUCCUUCAAGAUCAUCUUGACAUGGAGAAAAAUCUUCAGCCAGAUAAGCCUAGCUCUCAUCCUUCCACUAUCCUUCAUCUUCCUAGCUCAUAUGCAAAUAUCCCAGUUGAUUUUCUUCAAUAUCCUCGACAAUGAAGAUGCCUUAUACUUCACCCAAUCUGGCACACCAAAACACGAUAAACUCUCUCAUAACAUCUCCGCGGAAUGGACUGCCUUUUGGCUCUUCAAAUUUGCCUACUUUACUUUCUUUCUAAUCUUUUCCCUUCUCUCCACAUCUGCAGUUGUUUAUACCAUAGCUUGCAUAUACACUGCCAAGCCAAUCACCUUCAAGAAGAUCAUGAGUGUUGUGCCAAAGGUCUGGAAGAGACUCAUGGUCACCUUUAUAUGGAGUUUUGUUGUUGUUGUGCUCUAUAACAUCAUUGCAGCUGUGGUGUUUGUAACCUUGUGGACUCAAGUUGUUUUUCAUGUAAAUGCAGUCGGAUUUAGAAUUGCGGUUCUUGUUGCUCUUAUCAUCAUAUAUUCCGUGGGGAUGUUGUAUAUCACCAUAGUAUGGCAUCUGGCUAGUGUGGUCUCUGUUUUAGAAGAUGUUUACGGGAUUAAAGCCAUGAUCAAGAGCAAAAACCUAAUCAAGGGCCAGAUGGGAGUUACAGUAGCUGUUUUUAUUGUGGUUGGAGUUUGUUUUGUUGGAAUUCAGCUGCUAUACGAGUUUUUUGUGGUUUUGAACAAGCCAUUGGGAGUCAGAAUUGGAGUGGGAAUAGCUUGCUUCUUCUUGCUGUGUAAGGUGAUGCUCUUCGACCUUGUCAUCCAAACUGUUCUCUACUUUGUGUGCAAAUCGUAUCACCAUGAGAAUAUCAACAAGUCCUCCUUGUCGGAUCAUCUGGAGGUUUAUCUUGGGGAGUAUGUUGCUCUGAAGUCCAAGGAUGUCCAAAUGGAGCAAUUGCAAGUCUAGCUCUUCCUUUCUAUUUUAUCUACAGGUCUUAAAACCAUAUGUAGUCAAUGGUAGCCAAGCAUCCCAGAGUGUGUUGCGGGAUGGUCCAUUGUUGAUUAUUUAGGUAUUAUUGUAAACAAACAAAUAAACUCAAUGCGAUCAUCUCGAUUCUACUUGUGUUUCUAUAUUAUAUUAUAGUAUCACAUCCUAGUCCAUCCCCUUUGCUGUUUAAUUUUAAAAAUAUUUUUAAGAUGGUAUUUUAAAAAAAAUAAUAUUAAAAUAAUAAUAUAUUGGAUCAACCUUGAUUAAUCUAAGUUUUUUUUAUAAAAUUAUUUUUAUUUAAUUAUAUGAUAAAGUAAUAGGUGCUUGCAAAACCGAACACUAACUUAAUAUUGAGAUGUUUUUCUAAGACUACGAUAAUCCUAUAAAAAAUAAAUUAUGAUAUCUAAUUUUCAAUAAUUAUAUUUUUCUAGAAUUAUUUUUAUUUAAUAAUACGAUAAAAAAUAAAUACUUAAAAAAUCAAACACUAACCCAAUACCGAUAUAUUUUUCUAAGAUUGUGAUAACUUUAUAGAAAAUUAAUCGAAAUAAAUCAUGAAGCUCAUAUCAUAAUAAUUAAGUUUUUUUAAUUAUUUUUUUAUUUAAUAAUACAAUAAACAUUUUUUAUUUAAUAAUAUGGUAAAAAUAGAUGAUAAUAAACCUAAUAUCGAGAUAUUUUUUUUCAAGACCACAAAAAGCUCGUAUAAAGGAAACCAAAAUAAAUAAUAAAAUUUAAUUUCUAAUAAAUUUAAUAUUUAAAAGAUGCAAAUAAAAAUAAAAAUAAAUACAUAUUAAUGUUCCAAUAAAUAGUGACAUGUCAGAAGAGGAACAACAAUUUCCCCUCCUCGUUUUGCUUUGUUAACUAGAUUGGUGGUACUAUGCUGCUGGCCAAACCAAACUUAUUUUAAGUGCGAAAAAAAAUAUUUUAAUGAUGGUAAUGUUUUUAAAGAAAUAGAAGAAAUUCAAAAUUUGGGUUAAAUCUUAAUUAAUUUGAUAAUAUGAUAAAAAAAAUUGCAAACAACAACAACAAAAAACAAAAUAUAAUAUUAGGCUGAGUCAAGCUAGAUUAAGACGUGAAAUUCAUAAUCAAUAUAUAAAAUCAGGAUAACCUUAUAGAAGGAUGAAAUAAAAAAACAUAUAAAAAAAGACUUUAAAAAGAGAUAUAAGCCAACUCAGUCCAAUCAUUUAAACCCAUGACCCAAAAGGUUACCAAAAUUCCGAUCAAUAAAAUAUUGAGGGGUGAAAUAAAAAACAAAUCCCAAUAAAAAGGGAUUAAAAAAAAACUAUAUAGCAAUAAAAAAAGGACUAAAUCUGACAUAAAAUAAAAUGAAUUAAAAUAUUGAGGGAUGCAAUUGAAAAGCUAAUUUAAUUAAGAUAGUGAUUAAAAGAAUAACAAUGAAAAUAAUAAGUAUUAAAUUUGAAAGGUAAAAAAAUUAAAAAAGGGUUAAAUCAAAAGAAAAUCCCAUAUCUAUGGAUUAUUUAAAAUAAAAAAAAUAAAGACUAUAUUUGAGAUGAAAAAAAAUAUUAAUGGCUGCUUAGAAAAUAUAUAAGGGAAGCCUUUGAAAUCAAGGAGAGAUGAAACAAAAAAGGGAAAAUAGAAAUGGUUACAAGUGCAAAACCCGAUAUUUUUUAGCCACACGUGCUAUCUAGUAAUGGAGUCGAUGCCUUGAAGAUUAAAAUAUCAUUAUAAAAGCUGGAUUUUGCCCACCGAAUAAUAUUCUACGCAUCGUUCGGAGAGAGCAGGAGCACCUACCCACAUCCAUGUAAAUGACACGUGCAAUUGAUUUUUUUAAAUAAAAUAACAUUUUAUACAUGCCUAAAUACUAAAUUACUCGUGAUUAAACAUGAUAAUUAUAUUUUUAAAAAAAAACAAGUGAAAAAGAUAGAAAAAACAUAUGAUCUAUAAUCUUUAUGUAUUCUAAACCUUCUAGACAUAUUUAUUUAAGAAAACACAGAAAUUUUACAAACUAUUUUCUUCUAAUACAUGUGGCUAUUUUGAAUUAAUUACUUUCCUUUCAUAUAUAAUUUUGACUUUACGAUGGAAAAUAAAAGAAGGAGAAAUGAGAACAAACAUUAAAUAAACCUGUAACAUCGAGUAAGAUUCUGAAAAAAAGAAAUCUCACUAAUUUCUCACUGUGUAGACCUCUCAAUCCCUUAAUUAGUUAGACUUUCAUUAGUUAGAAAAACAAUUUCCAACUCUUUUUUGUUUUGUAUAAAUCGAAAAAUGCAUAAUAAUAAUUGAAAAUUUUCAAACUCAAAGCAAAAUGGGAAGAAUAGGUUAUACAUUAUACUUCAAUUCCCUUCUCCUCCCCCAAAUUAUAAACCAUUCAUUUCUCAGGUAUAAGAACAGAAAAUUGCCCUAUCAACCAAGAUGGGAGAGGCUCAAAAAGCAAGUCCGAAUUCACAUCAUCCCACCACAAAGCCAAUCCAACCCACGUUAAUUAGGUGUAUAUUUGAUAAUUAUAGGGAUUGUUUUUUAAUUUUAAAAAAUUAUUUUUAAUAUUAAGACAUCAAAUAAUUUAAAAUUUUAAAAAUAUUAAUUUAAAAAAAAAUAACGAAACAACGGUUGCAUCGCUGUACCAAUCUGUAUGGGAAAACAAGAAAUCUAAACCUUUAAAUCCCCCUCCCCACCCCUUUUUUUUUCAAUGCUUUUUCUGAAACCCCUUUCUUACAAUUGCAAAAGGUUGUUUUCUUAAUGGAAUCCACCUUCGAAAGACGUCGGUGGAUUAUUGUUUGCAAGAAAAUUGGAAUUCAGAACUCCCUAGAUUGGAUUGGAAUCUUCCUCGUCUGGUUUUUCAUUUGUAAGUCCACGCCAGGUUGACUAAUAAAUGUCCUGCUUUUGAGUUUUGAAUAAUUAAUUUAUUAAUUUGUUGUAAUUCGAGAUGGACACAUGGUGAUGUUUCAUCUUUUUCUCCCUUUUAACCAUUUCUAUUAUAACUAGACUUAAUUAAUUUCAAAUAAUUAAGGGAGAUAUCAAAUGAUUAUAUUGGUUAACACACAACAAAUGAUACGUUUAAGCUUAAGCAAAAAUGAUAUAUAACUGCUGAUUUAUUUUUCAUACAAAAUUUCCAACUUAUGGGAUGGUGACUGGCUAGCUUAAAAUUAACACCAUGUGUCUGCCAUUGCAACAUAGCCAAUCACCCGAUAGUAUAAUUCUCAUAAUCCCUUCAUUACCCUCCAAGAAUCUAUCAAUAUUAUAAUGUUUUACAAGUAAUUCAUAAGAAGACCAUGGGCAAUUUGUCAAAUGAAAGUCCACUUUUGUUUUCUGAAAUCGACCUUUUAAUGCCAUCUAUGGAAAGACUCCAUGCCUCCCUCCAUCACCCAUUUCUUUGUGAAGAAGGAGAGGGAAAAAAUCAUGGACAGAGAACAAGAAGAGCUCCAGUUUCUCGGAUUCUUUGGCAUCUUCAAAGAAUCCUUCAAGAUCAUCUUGACAUGGAGAAAAAUCUUCAGCAAGAUAACCCUAGCUCUCAUCCUUCCACUGUCCUUCAUCUUCCUAGCUCAUAUGCAAAUAUCCCAAAUGAUUUUCUUCAAGAUCCUUGACAAUGAAGAUACCUUAGACUUCACCCAACCCGGCACGCCAAAAUACGAUAUACUCUCUGAUAACAUCUCCUCGGAAUGGACUGCCUUCUGGCUCUUCAAGUUUGCGUACUUCACUUUCCUCCUAAUCUUUUCCCUUCUUUCCACAUCUGCAGUUGUCUAUACCAUAGCUUGCAUAUACACUGCCAAGCCAAUCACCUUCAAGAAGAUCAUGAGUGUUGUGCCAAAGGUCUGGAAGAGACUCAUGGUCACCUUUUUAUGGAGUUUUGUUGUUGUUGUGCUCUAUAACAUCGUUUCCAUAGUGGUUUUGAUCAUCUUGUCUGUUACUCUUUUCAACCAUGUACCUG